AAUUUGAUUGCAUAUAAGAAAUGCAGUAUAGGUAGGAAGUGACUCCUAGGUCGUCUCUCAAGGACCAAAUGUGGUUCGAGUCUUAGGUCUAACACGAAGUGGGGGGGUUGCGAAAGGUUUAUGCAAGGAAAAUUAAAUUAAAUUAAAACUGAAAAUUAAAAGCAACCAAACAUACUUGAAAACACUGAAAUAAAUGGACAAAGCAUGAAGACCGAACGGUCCCACAGAUGACCGAACGAUUCUACAUUGAGACCAAACUAUCUCUAAACCAAGUGAGGAAAAUGGAAAUGCAAGAAGGUAAAGAAACCAAACAAAAUAGGAAACAUAGUGAACGGAAAAAGUAAAUUGAACACUGCAAUAGAUAAAUAUCCAAACACAAUUAAAGCCAUUAAAAUGCAACAC
rnacentral:lncRNA from 1 species